rnacentral:tRNA from 3 species
GGAGGGUUGGCCGAGUGGUCUAAGGCGGCAGACUUAAGAUCUGUUGGACGGCUGUCCGCGCGAGUUCGAACCUCGCAUCCUGCA